rnacentral:rRNA from 1 species
GCUAAAUACUCCUGACUGACCGAUAGUGAACCAGUACCGUGAGGGAAAGGCGAAAAGAACCCCUGUGAGGGGAGUGAAAUAGAACCUGAAACCGUGUACGUACAAGCAGUAGGAGCACCUUCGUGGUGUGACUGCGUACCUUUUGUAUAAUGGGUCAGCGACUUAUAUUCAGUGGCAAGGUUAACCGUAUAGGGGAGCCGUAGCGAAAGCGAGUCUUAACUGGGCGCUCAGUCUCUGGAUAUAGACCCGAAACCGGGUGAUCUAGCCAUGGGCAGGUUGAAGGUUGAGUAACAUCAACUGGAGGACCGAACCGACUAAUGUUGAAAAAUUAGCGGAUGACUUGUGGCUAGGGGUGAAAGGCCAAUCAAACUCGGAGAUAGCUGGUUCUCCCCGAAAGCUAUUUAGGUAGCGCCUCGGACGAAUACUACUGGGGGUAGAGCACUGUUAAGGCUAGGGGGUCAUCCCGACUUACCAACCCUUUGCAAACUCCGAAUACCAGUAAGUACUAUCCGGGAGACACACGGCGGGUGCUAACGUCCGUCGUGGAGAGGGAAACAACCCAGACCGCCAGCUAAGGUCCCAAAGUAUUGCUAAGUGGGAAACGAUGUGGGAAGGCUCAGACAGCUAGGAUGUUGGCUUAGAAGCAGCCAUCAUUUAAAGAAAGCGUAAUAGCUCACUAGUCGAGUCGGCCUGCGCGGAAGAUGUAACGGGGCUAAGCA